rnacentral:rRNA from 1 species
GUCCUUUUGAUUUUUAUUUAAGGUCUAGUCUGCCCACUGAAUUUAUAUUUUAAAUGGCCGCAGUAUUUUGACUGUGCAAAGGUAGCAUAAUCAUUAGUUUUUUAAUUAAAAGCUUGUAUGAAAGGCUGGACGAGGUAAGAUCUGUCUCUAUUUAAAUUAUAAUAGAAUUUAACUUUUAAGUUAAAAGGCUUAAAUAUUAUUAAAAGACGAGAAGACCCUAUAGAUCUUUAUAAUUUAUUUAAUAAAAUUAAUCUAGAAAUGUUAAUAUUUUUAUUUAAUUAAAUUAUUUUAUUGGGGUAAUAGAAAGAUUGAAAUAAUUCUUUUUUAUUAUAAACAUUAAUUUAUGAAUAUUAAAUGAUCCAGUUUUACUGAUUAUAAGAUUAAGUUACCUUAGGGAUAACAGCGUAAUUUUUUUAGAGAGUUCAUAUCGAUAAAAAAGUUUGCGACCUCGAUGUUGGAUUAAAGAUUAUUUUAGGUGCNGAAGCUUAAUAAUUUUGGUCUGUUCGACCAUUAAAUCUUUAC